rnacentral:rRNA from 1 species
GUGGGGAAUAUUGGACAAUGGGGGCAACCCUGAUCCAGCAAUGCCGCGUGAGUGAUGAAGGCCUUAGGGUUGUAAAGCUCUUUCGGCGGGGACGAUGAUGACGGUACCCGCAGAAGAAGCCCCGGCUAACUUCGUGCCAGCAGCCGCGGUAAUACGAAGGGGGCGAGCGUUGUUCGGAUUUACUGGGCGUAAAGGGCGCGCAGGCGGCUUUGGAAGUCAGAUGUGAAAGCCCCGGGCUUAACCUGGGAAUUGCAUUUGAUACUCUGGAGCUAGAGUGUGGGAGAGGAUAGUGGAAUUCCCAGUGUAGAGGUGAAAUUCGUAGAUAUUGGGAAGAACACCGGUGGCGAAGGCGGCUAUCUGGACCACAACUGACGCUGAGGCGCGAAAGCGUGGGGAGCAAACAGGAUUAGAAACCCUAGUAGUCC